GACGAACGCUGACGGCGUGCUUAACACAUGCAAGUCGAGCGAUGAAGCUCCUUCGGGAGUGGAUUAGCGGCGGACGGGUGAGUAACACGUGGGUAACCUGCCUCAUAGAGGGGAAUAGCCUUUCGAAAGGAAGAUUAAUACCGCAUAAGAUUGUAGCUUCGCAUGAGGCAGCAAUUAAAGGAGUAAUCCGCUAUGAGAUGGACCCGCGUCGCAUUAGCUAGUUGGUGAGGUAACGGCUCACCAAGGCGACGAUGCGUAGCCGACCUGAGAGGGUGAUCGGCCACAUUGGGACUGAGACACGGCCCAGACUCCUACGGGAGGCAGCAGUGGGGAAUAUUGCACAAUGGGGGAAACCCUGAUGCAGCAACGCCGCGUGAGUGAUGACGGUCUUCGGAUUGUAAAGCUCUGUCUUCAGGGACGAUAAUGACGGUACCUGAGGAGGAAGCCACGGCUAACUACGUGCCAGCCGCCGCAGUAA
rnacentral:rRNA from 1 species